rnacentral:tRNA from 1 species
GCGGACGUGGCGAAACUGGUAGACGCAAGAGACUUAAAAUCUCUCGGCCUAUGGCUGUGCGGGUUCGAUCCCCGCCGUCCGCACCA